UAGAUGAUCGAUAAAUAUGGACUCUCGUGAAAGAUAUAGCAAAAGUCCAUGCUAUUUACAAUAAUGCUUCAUUACUAUAUGUCCAUGUUCAAACGUCUUCCUCCCUUCAACUGCAUGAUCGAUGGAGAUAAGUCGAUAUUUGAGGCAGCAUGCUCGCACAAUAGCUGGAAAGUCUCAGCUUUUUAUAAACUCUUAUGCUAAAGCUCUUGAGGAUUUAGAGUAGCUAUUGAAUUUCAUUGGUGCAGAAUAAAGUUGAUAUACAACAGGACGUCAAGCGAAACAUUAUGAUGUUUUGGUCUUUUUGUAGGUUUUUUUGUAUUUAAGGAAUUGAAGCAAUG